rnacentral:rRNA from 1 species
CAGAUCUAGCUUGCUAGAUGCUGACGAGUGGCGCACGGGUGCGUAACGCGUAUACAAUCUACCUUUAACUGAGGGAUAGCCCAGAGAAAUUUGGAUUAAUACCUCAUAGUAUUAUAAUUAGGCAUCUUUUUAUAAUUAAAACUUCGGUGGUUAAAGAUGAGUAUGCGUACUAUUAGCUAGUUGGUAAGGUAAAAGCUUACCAAGGCAACGAUAGUUAGGGGGCCUGAAAGGGUGAUCCCCCACACUGGUACUGAGACACGGACCAGACUCCUACGGGAGGCAGCAGUGAGGAAUAUUGCACAAUGGAGGAAACUCUGAUGCAGCCAUGCCGCGUGCAGGAAGAAUGCCCUAUGGGUUGUAAACUGCUUUUAUACAAGAAGAAACCUCAGUACGUGUACUGACUUGACGGUAUUGUAUGAAUAAGCACCGGCUAACUCCGUGCCAGCAGCCGCGGUAAUACGGAGGGUGCAAGCGUUAUCCGGAUUUAUUAGGUUUAAAGGGUCCGCAGGCGGAAUAUUAAGUCAGUGGUGAAAGCCUACAGCUCAACUGUA